GACGAACGCUGCGGCGUGCUUAACACAUGCAAGUCGAGCGGUAAGGCCCUUCGGGGGUACACGAGCGGCGAACGGGUGAGUAACACGUGAGCAACCUACCCUCAACUUUGGGAUAAGCCUCGGAAACGGGGUCUAAUACCGGAUAUGACCAUAGGCUUCAUGGUUUGUGGUUGAAAGUUCUGGCGGUUGGGGAUGGGCUCGCGGCCUAUCAGCUUGUUGGUGGGGUAAUGGCCUACCAAGGCUUCGACGGGUAGCCGGCCUGAGAGGGCGACCGGCCACACUGGGACUGCGAGACGGCCCAGACUCCUACGGGAGGCAGCAGUUAGGAAUUUUGGGCAAUGGGCGAAAGCCUGACCCAGCAACGCCGCGUGGGUGAUGACGGCCCUCGGGUUGUAAAGCCCUUUUCUGGGGGAAGAUAGUGACGGUACCCUGGGAAGAAGCCCCGGCUAACUACGUGCCAGCAGCCGCGGUAAUACGUAGGGGGCAAGCGUUGUCCGGAUUUAUUGGGCGUAAAGCGCUCGCAGGCGGUUUGAUGCGUCGUGUGUGAAAGCCCCCGGCUCAACUGGGGAGGGUCAUGCGAUACGGUCAGACUGGAGGCCAGUAGGGGGAUGCGGAAUUCCGGGUGUAGUGGUGGAAUGCGUAGAGAUCCGGAGGAACACCAGCGGCGAAGGCGGCAUCCCGGACUGGUCCUGACGCUCAGGAGCGAAAGCGUGGGGAGCGAUCCGGAUUAGAUACCCGGGUAGUCCACGCUGUAAACGAUGAGUGCUAGACGUUGGGGAGCCUAGCUCUUCGGUGUCGCCGCAAACGCAUUAAGCACACCGCCUGGGGAGUACGGCCGCAAGGUUAAA
rnacentral:rRNA from 1 species